GAUGAAGAACGUAGCGAAAUGCGAUAAGUAAUGUGAAUUGCAGAAUUCAGUGAAUCAUCGAAUCUUUGAACGCACAUUGCGCCCCCUGGUAUUCCGGGGGGCAUGCCUGUUCGAGCGUCAUUACAACCCUCAAGCUCUGCUUGGUAUUGGGCCCCGCCAGUUCUGGCGGGCCCUAAAGUCAGUGGCGGUGCCUUCCGGCUCCGAGCGUAGUAAUUCUUCUCGCUCUGGAGACCCGGUUGUGUGCUUGCUAACAACCCCCAAUUUUUUAAGGUUGACCUCGGAUCAGGUAGGGAUACCCGCUGAACUUAAGCAUAUCAAUAAGCGGAGGA
rnacentral:misc_RNA from 1 species